UUUAGACAUAAAUACCUCAAUAAAAUAAAUAGCCAAAUAUCUCAGAAGCUUAUCUCUGGCAGCUAAUGCUUUGAGAAAUUACAGCCUUCCCUCUUUUCUGCUCAGUCAAGUUUUCUCCCUGAAGGCGUUCAAAAGUUGAGCUGUUUUGGAAUUCACCACCUGGCCACCAGUCUCAGCUGUACCUAGACUUGUCUGUACAGUAUUUGUUGACAGCAGACGGGUAGAACACAAGGAAGCACUUUUGUUUGGCUUCUAUGUCGAUCUAGCACUGAACACUUCACUCCAUCAGCUGCUCCCUGAGAAAGCACCAGGUUUACACAUUGGGUUACUGUUGGGAGAGGAAGAGGAUACACUGCUGCAGACACCCAGCAGCUGCGGGCGCAUUCCUCACCAUCGCCACUGCCACCCACACUUGAAUGACAUCCAUCUUCCCACCGACAGGAAUACUAGGAGAUGAGGAGUUAGGAACACGAUAAAUAAUGCCCCU
rnacentral:lncRNA from 12 species